AUUGAACGCUGGCGGCAUGCUUUACACAUGCAAGUCGAACGGCAGCGCGGGCUUCGGCCUGGCGGCGAGUGGCGAACGGGUGAGUAAUGCAUCGGAACGUGCCCAGCAGUGGGGGAUAGCCCGGCGAAAGCCGGAUUAAUACCGCAUACGACCUGAGGGUCAAAGCGGGGGACCGAAAGGCCUCGCGCUAUUUGAGCGGCCGAUGUCGGAUUAGCUAGUUGGUGGGGUAAAGGCUUACCAAGGCGACGAUCCGUAGCUGGUCUGAGAGGACGACCAGCCACACUGGGACUGAGACACGGCCCAGACUCCUACGGGAGGCAGCAGUGGGGAAUUUUGGACAAUGGGGGCAAGCCUGAUCCAGCCAUGCCGCGUGCGGGAAGAAGGCCUUCGGGUUGUAAACCGCUUUUGUUCGGGAAGAAAUCCUCUGGGCUAAUACCCCGGGGGGAUGACGGUACCGGAAGAAUAAGCACCGGCUAACUACGUG
rnacentral:rRNA from 1 species